rnacentral:sRNA from 1 species
GAGCCAGGCUCAAGUAUUGGCACCAAGUUAGGUCUCAGAGGAAAGAAUGGAAACCAAUCACUUUACAUUUUUAUUUUUAUUUUCGGUGGAAAAAUCAUCCUUUUUUGGGACAUACUUGCCCCCUACUUCCUCUUCUCUCUGGAAUGGCUCACAAUGAGUGCGAUAUUAGAAAACUCCUUGCAGAGGAGAGUUUCUCCAGGGCCUCCUCCGAAGUGUGGCUUUAAGGAGUAAGCUUGAGGAUGAUGUUUUUAAUUAUUGUAAAUCAUUACCUCAUUUCCAGCCUCCCAGGCUCCAUCCAUCCCAGCAUCUUUUAUUCUGCCAUUUUCCUCACCUUGUGCUAUGACAAUGGGGCGUUGUGCUUCCACAGAGACUUAUAGGAGUGUUCAGUGUAUAGUUUCUUAAUAAACACUUUAUUUUCUAAUG